UGUAAUUUAGUGUAAGGUGCACGUAGGCCUUUGAAGCCAAAAGAUUGAGUUCAUUCCUCACAAUUAUAA
rnacentral:tRNA from 1 species